rnacentral:rRNA from 1 species
CAAAAACAUCGCCUCUUGAACUAAAUAAGAGGUAUAGCCUGCCCAGUGACGUCAGUUUAACGGCCGCGGUAUCCUAACCGUGCGAAGGUAGCGUAAUCACUUGUUCUUUAAAUGAGGACUAGUAUGAAUGGCAUUACGAGGGUUAUACUGUCUCCUCUCUCCAAUCAGUGAAACUAAUCUCCCCGUGAAGAAGCGAGGAUAGAUACAUAAGACGAGAAGACCCUAUGGAGCUUUAAACAAACCAGCAUUUGCUACUCAACCACACUUUUCAGAAACCCUAAACACAUCCUAGCUCUCUGACUGCAAGUUUUCGAUUGGGGUGAUCAUGGAACAAAAAAUAACCUCCAUGUCGAAAGGACCCUCUCCUGAACAAAAAGCGACAGCUUUCUGCACUAAAAAAUUAACGUUUAUUGACCCAACACUUUGAUCAACGAACCAAGUUACCCUAGGGAUAACAGCGCAAUCUACUUCAAGAGUCCCUAUCGACAAGUAGGUUUACGACCUCGAUGUUGGAUCAGGGUACCCCAGUGGUGCAGCCGCUACUAAAGGUUCGUUUGUUCAACGAUUAAAACC